rnacentral:piRNA from 1 species
UGGGUUUGGAAAUGCCAAGUGAGAGGCAGU